rnacentral:rRNA from 1 species
UACGGAGGGUGCAAGCGUUAUCCGGAUUCACUGGGUUUAAAGGGUGCGUAGGUGGGUCUGUAAGUCAGUGGUGAAAUCUCCAAGCUUAACUUGGAAACUGCCAUUGAUACUAUAGACCUUGAAUGCUGUGGAGGUGAGCGGAAUAUGUCAUGUAGCGGUGAAAUGCUUAGAUAUGACAUAGAACACCAAUUGCGAAGGCAGCUCACUACCCAGAUAUUGACACUGAGGCACGAAAGCGUGGGGAUCAAACAGG